rnacentral:tRNA from 1 species
GCCGCUUUAGCUCAGUUGGUAGAGCAUCGCAUUCGUAAUGCGGGGGUCACAGGUUCGAGUCCUGUAGGCGGCACCA